AUAUCUAGCUAGUUCAAUGCUUUAAUUCAGGAACCUUGGCCAAAGCUGCUUUGUUUUUAAAAGUCUCAACUCUGCUUCUCCGAGCAUUUGUGCUCCUAUUGGCUUGGGGCAAGGCGGGAGAGAGGGAUGGAGAAGGAGAGGGAGAGAUCCCUCGAGGUCGAUUUCUCGUAGAGAUCGACGAGAAAGGCCGCUCUACUUGAGACAUCGCAGCCGAGCUUGCCUCAAAUCCGAGAUCAGGAAGGGAGAAGCAUCACGGCGCACAUGCUCUCUCGGAAGAUCGAAGACGCCCCAAGACUCCAGACCAUGUUCUCUUCAUCGUACGCUGCCUUCGUUCCAACUUCUUUGGUUGUAAUUGUUCUCGUUUUCUCCUUUUAGGUUCAUCCAAUAUAAUGUGUUCGCUUGAAUGUAUUCAAACUUCUUGGGAAUGGCGCUGUCAAAUCAUAUGAAGAAAGCUGUUCUUUCUGCGAUCACAAAGAUCAAAGCGCGGCGGAUCUUGGAUAGCAGGGGAUCCCUACUGUGGAAGUGCAUCUCUACACGAACAAGGGGACGCAUCGAAACUCGGUUCCGAGCGGUGCCGCUACUGGAAUUUAAGCUGCUUGUCUUUCUUAUGCCUGCUUUUCUUAGACUUUUUUGGCUUCUUUGGAAUGAGUUGCUGUGCUGAAAUAUCCGAUCUAGGGUAGAAGACGAAUCAUCUAAAAUCUAUUCUCCAGUUGUUUUAUUUUGCAUAUAUAUGGAUAUAAUUAUGCUCUGGGAUUGAUGGGAGAUUAGAUUUUUAAUUUACGGUAAGAGGCUUACUUAGUUAAGAAUCAAGAAGAGGAGUAGCGUUGUUGGUAGUAUGUACAACCAGAAGAUAACUGUGAGAAAUUUGGAUCAAUGAAACUCUCUACAGGGAAAGGCUUUACAAAUGUUUUAAAGAAACAUGGAAGUGCAGCCCUAGAAUAUGUCUUGAAAGCAUAUUUGGCUAUUUAACAUUGCUAUGUUCUUAUAUUCCUUCAAGAGGUAGGAAUUGUUGCCUUUUCAUUAUGUGAAUCACCAUCUGGGAAUGUGAAAAGCCAUGUAGGCAAUAUCAUAACCCAUAUUAGUGGACCGCAUGAAGCUGUCUAUUCUCUGACUUUCUUCAUGCGGUUUGUCCGUUAUGAUACUUAGCUGUUCUGCUUUUGCUUUUAUGUUUCUGCAUUCAUUUUCUUUAUGUAGAUGAUACUAGCUUACUAUUAUGCAGCACUAGUAAAUAGAAACAUAUGUAAUCUCAAUGCCUGAUUUGUCUUUAGUGGUUUGCGCUGUUUUGAAAUGUCAACCGCAUUUGCUUUUAUAUGUACGCAAAACCUGAUCACUGAUCUAUAGUCAAGUUAUUGGGCUUCGGUUUAAUUACUGACCCUAUGAGGAGGCUGUUGAAUUGCGUGAUGGUGAGAAAGGUAAAUAUCUUGGAAAGGAUGUUCCAAGAGCAGUGUAUAUUACUAAUGAAAAUAUUUCUGAAGCUUUAAUUGGCAUGGACUCUGUACUUCAAUCCCAGAUCAAUCAACCAAUGAUGGAUUUGGACAAAAAUGAGAAUAAGGCAAGUUCUUCUGUCAACGUUUUCCAUAUGCUUUGCCUCUCUACAUUUAAUCCUUAAAAAGCCUUUUGUACUUGAAAUAUUUCUUCGUAAUUGCAAUGCAGUGCACAAUACUGGCUUGUAUUUAUGCGCAAACUUCUUUACCAUCUCCAAUUUAUUUUUUACUCUUAUGUCAUUAAAAAACUCCUGGUUCUACAUUACUUUUUAUUUAAAUCUUUUAAUUCAUUAAGUUUUCAUCAAGUUGUUUACAGUUUAUCUCAUGAAGCACACCCUCCCCCAAUCCUUCCAAUAAUAACAGUAAAUAAACAAUGCUGUCCCACAACCUCGUCCCCUCUACCAAUAAAGAAAAGCAAAAUGGAGUAGCACAAUUAACAGAAUUGUAAAGUUGUUAAGGAAUUGCCGACUCUGCUUUUUCGUUGAUUAUUGCUUGAGUUUGCAUUUUGGUGUAUUAGGUUUUCAUUUACUCCAGUCCUGUUGUAUUUUAUAUUGCACUAUGUAUCAAAUCACAUUUGUCUAUUACCAACGGAGAACUCUACUUGCUUUCAUAAGUUAUUUGUUCAUCUUGAAUGCAAAUAUAUCUAAAGUAAUAAAUGAUUUAAUGCAUUUAACAUUUCAAUAUGAUCUUAUUUUUUGUCAAUAGAGAUAUUUUGCAGAGGAAACUUCAUCUUUUUCCCCUAUAAUUUCAUUGUGCAACUUAUAUAAUUUAAGUAGCAGAAUGUAAGAGUUCGGCAACAUUUUGCAGGCUGAACUUGGAGCAAAUGCUAUGUUAGCUGCAUCAAUUGUUGCAUGUAAAGCUGGUGCUGUGGAAAAAGGGAGGCAUGAUAUCUUUUCUACUAAUUUUUUUAGUUUCCUUUGCUUUCAUAAUUCUGAUUCUUUUUGGACUGUUUGAUCUUGCAGGUUCCUCUCUACAUAACAUAUAGUUGAUCUUUCUGGUAAAAGCAAUCCAGUCCUUCCCCUUCCACCCAUCACCAUCAGUAGUGGUGGAAAACGUGCUGGGAAUAAUCUAGCUGUCCAAGCACGACCUAUGUUAAUCUGGUGACGUGCAUGCGUAGUUGAGCACUUAAGUUUUUGGUUUGAUCAACUUCUGUUGGUUUUCCUCAAAAUGAUGAUAAAACAUACCAAUAUAAAUCCAGGUAAAUUAGGUUGGAACUGUCACAGAGGCUAUAGAAGUUGUGAAGUGGGCUAAAGAUGCUCGCUGGGGAGUGAUCGUAUCUCACAGAAGCAGACUGAAGAUUCUUUCAUUACUGAUUUAGCAGUUGGCCUUCCAACCAGCCAGAUUAAAGCUGGAGCUUUCCUUUGUCUUUCAUUCCGUCAUAUUCCUAAGAACUUAUCCAAUUACAAUGACUACUUAGAAUUGAGGAAGAACUUGAAGUGAAGCUGCUUAUGCUGGAGUGAUCUGGCGACAGCCAUAAUACAGCAGGUUGAACACAUCUGUGCAAGUUUUUUGAGUUGAAUUCUUCACACUGUAGUCGUUGGUUGAAAACUGAUUGAGGUUAAAAGAUGCCUUCAGUUUUCAGUGAAUUAUUGAGAUUGGUAGUUGUACCGAACCUUUAUGUGAUUGAAUGCGGUGGCUUUGCAUGUAAAAAUGAGUUUGAAAUUCUUGAGUACAUGAGUUUAUAGGCUCAAGAUAGCAAGGCCAUCUGCGUAGUUUGUUGACCAAUCUGAAAAGUCCAGGUAUUUUUGAUCAGUUAAUUUGUUCGACAUCAAUUUACAGAUAUACCCUUAAGCAUCAGAAUGCCCAUAGACUGCAACCUUGGGCAAAUUA